rnacentral:lncRNA from 1 species
UACAUUCUCAUAAAUAACUAAGAUAGUAGAAGACUGACAAGAGCUUAACGAGAUGACUAGUUCACCUCAUAGCAUUCACAUCAACAUUGGAAUCAGGAUGUCGCUCACCACCUGCCAAAAAUAAAUGAUAAUUACAACAAAGAAAAGAAAAGCAGGGUAGAACCAAAAGAACUUUAAAGCAUCAAUUUUCUCAUCAUUUAUCGGUAUAUAAAUUUUUUUGGAAAUUCCAACCUGCACAAAGCAAACACCUUGAAGGCUUGAACAAGAAACAGUGCCGGCUCUAGGGGGAGGCCAAUUAAGCAAUUGCUUUAGGCCCCCCAAAUUGAAGGCCCCAAUUUUAUGACUAUUAUUUAGUAUUACAUAUAUUGUAAAAUUAUUAUUAUGAAAAAGAAACUAAAUUUAUGUUUUCUUGUAAUAUGAUAGAAGUUAUUUUGAUAAAUACUGAAUUUUCUAAUAAAAAUGUAUUAUAUAAAAAGAACAAUUUGAUGAUGUUAUUGACAAUUAAAAAGAUAAAAUAAAAGUCUCUUGUAGUAUUUUUUAAAGUUGAUAUUUCUUACAAAGAGUUGAUCAACGUUGUUUCAAUUCAAAACAGACUUGAACUAUUCGAAAUACCUAAUUAUACUAAUGCUUAACAAAGUGAUAUCAUUAUAUGAUAAAAACUUAUAAAAAUUAUCUUGACCAUGGAUGUUAAUAAUAUUGAAGCUUUGAUGAGUAGAGUUAUAAGAUACCCAGUGCAUAGUCAAAAUAAGUACAAGAUGGUCUAUACACCACCUUAACAACAAGAAGAAAAACAUGUAAAAUUUUAUUUAUAAAAAUUAAAGGCCUACCAAUUCUGUUGAGUGGCCUCUGACAAGAAAAUGCAGACGUUAGGGAGUGGUGGGACCGGGAAACACCAAAGUUAGGGAGUUCUUCACCAACCAUGGCUGGAACAUUGGGAGCUUCUCCAGGACACGGUGCCACAGAGAGCUUUAGAUGAGAUUAUGCAAAUCAAGAUCGGCCGUAAUCAAAUCCAAGAUCAAGCCAUCUGGACUCCCACCCCUCAAGGAUCCUUUACAUGCUCCUCUGCCUAUCAACUUCUCAGGAAAAUAAGAGAGAAUUCGCCUCAACUAGCCAAAAUCUGGAAUAAUCACCUACCUUUUAAAAUCUCCUUUGCAACAUGGAGACUCUUGAAAGGCAGGUUACCACUGGAUGACAUUGUUCUAAAGUUUGGUACAAACAUUAUUUCUAGAUGUUGUUGCAGGGUGCCAUUGGAUGACCAUGUUUUUGCAAAUAGCAAUACAGCAAAGAAGGUAUGGAAUACUAUGUCCACUCCACUGGGAUUCCAGACCACGGGAAGGAACACUAUAUGCCAUCCUAAAUCAAUGGUGGAGCAAACAGCCAAAAAACAAUGUCCAUAAGUUUCUACUGCAAAUUACCCCAACUAUAAUAUGCUAGGAGAUAUGGAAGGCCAGAUGUGGCAAGAAAUAUGGUAAGAAGACUAUUUCUGUUUUUAGAAUAUGUCAACAGGUUCUUUUUCAGGUUAAAGUUUCCAUGGGCCAGAAAUACAGUCAAAUGAAUUGGGACUGGACAUGGAAUACAGUUUGCAAGGUAGUGGAAGACUACAAAACAAGACUGAGGAGUGUUAUGGUUCUAUGGGAACCACCUGAUUGCAAUCGGUGGAAAAUUAACACAGAUGGCAGCUUCAUCGCAAACUUAAGAAAAGAAAUGGACACAUGGUGAUGGCCUUCUCCGCACCAGUACAUUUCUUAACUAACAACUACUCUGAAGUGCAAGCGGACCUGUUUGGUAUUCUUUGGUGUAGUGACCAUAACUGUCAAGAUCUUAGCUUGGAACUAGAUUCUCUUCUGGUAGUCAACAUGAUUCUAGGGACAUACAAUUCCCCAUGGAGACUUAAAGAAGACAUUACUCUAAUACAACAAAGGGUGCAACCGUGCAACAACAUGGUAUCAAGAUCAAACAUUGCUACAGAGAAGGGAAUGAAGUGGCCGACGCCUUAUCCAAACACGCUACUACUCUCAGUGAGCAGGUUAUUUUCCUCAACGAAAAUGACCUACCUACUAAGGCCAAAAGAGCCAUCACUGUGGAUAGAUUGCAGGUCCCAAAUUUCAGAAUUAGGCCAAGAAAACACUCAGGAUGGACUUUUGAGCCUCCUUAAAUGUUAAAGGAAGAGCUACUGUUGAGCUGAACUCACAUCCCAAUAGAGUAGCUCUUUUAUACUUGUAAGGCCUAGCCAUUUAUGUUUAUGCUGGCACUGCUCCAAUGGGAGGUUUUGGUUUAAAUGUCCCCCUCCUUUGUACUAUUUUGCUAAUGAAUAAAUAGGGUAGGGGUCAACGCCAAACCCCCCAACAACACAGGAGAUGAAAACCUGGGUGGAUGGUUUAAAUAAAUAAAAAAAUGCAGACUUUGCGGUUGAGAAAGACAAGUUGCAACCACAAGGGAGUUGAAUGUUUUAGGUAUAACAUUAUUUUGAUGUGAACCAAAACUCCGAUCCUACUAAAGAAUUUUCCAAAGGGAACCUAAUUACAGUACAGGAAAACAGGACUUUCGGUUACGAUCCACGAAGUAGCCACAAAAUCAAGGGCUUUUCGUGGCGACAUAUCUAGUUGCAUGAAAGGUAAAGAUUUUGAGUGGCGACCUGGAAAGUUGCCACGUAUAAUCGAGACUAAAUUUUUGUUCUCCGAAAAUGAAAUAUUUUGAAAUAUUUGGCAUGGAAAGUUUUUGUGGCAACCCGAUGAAAGUUACCACAGAUAGGUAUUUGUGGAGACCUAGUCCCUUCUUUUGGUCCUUGUUUCCAGUUAAGCUGGAAUUUCAGUGUUCCUUUGUAUUUGUUUCUGCAGUUAAACUUAAAAACUUUAUGCAGUAUUUUCUCUUCAGUAUCUGUGCAGAAAUGGACAAAAGGCUCCAAGAACACGAGUAGAAGCGGACAAAAGGAUUUAAGAAGAGAUGGCUGCUAUGAUGUCCAGAAUUCAACAGGUAAUGCAGUUUCUAUCUUUAUAGACAUAAAGGCAUUUAUAGUUUCCAUAAAAACAUGAUGUAGUCCACCUUUUUUUCUCUCCAAAUUCUUGACUCAACUGGACUCUAGGGGAUGCAUAAUGAACUAGAAGAGUAAAUAGAAAGCCAAGAGGAGUGGUAGCCUCAGAUUCUACAAAUACUAAUACCUUAUCGAAGUUCAGCUUUAGCAAAAGAUAUGCAGUCGAAUAACAACAAAGCACAUCAGUAUCUUGAACACUAAUGCAAGAAGCUCUUCCAAUGAAUCAUGUACUCUUUGAGUAAAUUAUAAUCUCAGACUGUCUCAGUUGGACAAAAGUUUUUGUGAGAAUCUGAUUUGAGUUCAAAAUCAUUUCUUGGUAAAAAAGAAAAAUUGACAUGGGAAGAGAAAAGCUACACAUUCUCUUAGUUCUGCUCUUAAAGAAAUUGUUUCUUUCUUCAGUACUAAAGAUCCUUGCCAUCAUCAAGAAGAAGAAAGUGGAGAUCUUUCAUGCGGUUUCAGGAGGGUAAUCAUGGUGUAAAUGAAAAAAAAUAGAUUAUGCUGCAGCUUUAACUAUUACAAGGUUUAAGCUCCCUUAAUCUACUUUUUUCUGAUGAUGGCAAGAUUUUAGUACUGAAGAGACAACAAAUCCUUUAGGAGCAGAAAUAAGGGAAUGUGUAGUUUCCUGGAGAGGCAAAGCAUUAUUGUUCAUGCGAGAUUUGUAAUGUUUCUACCUGAACAACAUCAAACUGCAGCUAAAAGUAAUUCAUUUCUUAACACAGAAACUGACAAAACAAAGAAUAUCACAUAUCACAACAGCAUUGAUUAAAUGGAAUCGUGUGAAUUCUCUCAUAAACAUGAAUAUUCACAAAGUGAAUUAGCCAACAUACUUGUUGCUAAAUAACUAAAGAUCAGAAUGCAGCUAUUUUCAUUCCUUCUCUCAUUUAAGAAUAUGGAAAGAAUGCAUCAUGUUGGUUGCGGCUGACAAUGAAGUUUUGAGCAGUUAUCUUGUUGGUGUAAUGGAUGUUGCCGGCAAGCACACACAAUAAUAGCAACAUAAAUUUUACAAUAUUAGUAACCAAGGCUUUUCACUUUGUACUUUUUCUGCAACUUCCUGAUGCCUUUAAUGAAACACUUUACUUCAUCAAAAAAAAAAUUACAAUAUUAGCAAUACAUUUUGGCAAAUUAAAAUAUAUUAGACCAAAAUGGAGUGAAGUGGAUAGUGAUACUGCGGACCUCAGGAUUGAGGCAUAGUUGUUAUAUUUGUUGUGUAGCAAAAUGCACAGGCAUAAAUCAAUGAGUUGUAUGCACUUGGUUUCAACAGAUAAAACUUUAACACCAAACACUUACCGUGUAGUAUAUGUAGCUACUAGAACAAGCUACUAGAGAGUUUUUUUCCUACUUUUGCUUUGAGUUGAGGAAUCUGGAUACAAACCUCUUCCUUGGUGACUGCCUGCAACCGAGAAAAAAUAUAUGUUGUCAAUAUUAUUUGGAAAUAGAGAUCAAAUUGUGUAUUGGUUUUCCUAGAAUCACAGAGUAAAAUUGAGUGGUGAACCUACAGUAAAAAGUUAAGAGAUAUUAUUUCAUAUAAUAUAAUAUAAUAUAAUAUAAGAGGAAAAUAAUUAUUAAAAAAAAAAAGAUGAAGGAGGGAGAGGACCUACAAUGGAAAUGGAUCACUGACUUGUCUUUGACAUGCAACAAAAGAGAAGUCUAAGAUUGAAGAAAGAACAAGAACCACACAGACAUUUGAAACCCUAAUUUUAUUUUAUUUUUUCAGCGUUUGAUUUGAGUAUUUGGGACAAAGUAACCUUUGGAGACUUUUU